UUGGCACUUAUUCUAGGCCAUGCAAUUGUUCUAAAUAUGUAUUUUUAAAAGCUAAAUCACCACUAAAAUUUAUGAUAGUAACAAUUAUUGUCACCAUUUUACAGGUGAGAAAAUUUGUCGAAAGUCACAGCUAUUAAGAGACAGAGCUAGGAUUCAAUCUAUUUAUGACAACUCCACAGCCAGUAUCAUACUGAAUGGGCAAAAACUGGAAGCAUUCACUUUGAAAAGCAGCACAGGACAAGGAUGUCCUCUCUCACCACUCCUAUUCAACAUAGUUUGGAAGUUUUGGCCAGGAAAAUCAGUCAAGAGAAAGAAAUAAAGGGUCAAAGCAGAUGAUAAAUUUCCAGAAAGCUAGAGCAUCAGGAAUCCACUAGGCCAACUGCUGGUUCCAGGAUCUCACUACAUUAUCCUUCAUGCAGGCACCUGAGAGCUACCAUAGCAACGUUGACACUAAAGUCACAUCACUUAAGCUAUAAUUUGGUGAUAAGGAAGAUGCUGCCAGAACUGUUGGCUCCUAAGUCACACUGUACCUGCUGGUUGCAUACCUUGGAGUCAGACAGACCUAGGUUUGACUGCUGGUUCUCUUACACAUUAGCUAUGUAAACAUGUAAAUAUUAUUUUACAUCUCUAAGCCUCGAAUUAUCAAUUUGUAAAAUGUAGAUAAUAGUA
rnacentral:lncRNA from 1 species